AGAAUCAACGCUGGCGGCGUGCCUAACACAUGCAAGUCGCACGAGAAAGGGGAGCAAUCCCUGAGUAAAGUGGCGCACGGGUGGGUAACACGUGAAUAAUCUACCUCCGAGUGGGGAAUAACUGAGAGAAAUCUUAGCUAAUACCGCAUAACACUUACGAGUCAAAGCAGCAAUGCGCUUGGAGAGGAGUUUCGCGGCCGAUUAGUUAGUUGGCGGGGUAAUGGCCCACCAAGACGAUGAUCGGUA
rnacentral:rRNA from 1 species